rnacentral:misc_RNA from 1 species
AAAAAAAGGGUGACCCAGAGGUUGGUGUAUGCAGUAGAGCUGUUUUCCUGGCUCCAAUAUGCGACUUCCAAAUCACAAAUAAAGUAAUAUAUCAAAGUCACGCUCAAAAUGAGAAACAUUCAAAUCAAGAAAAAUUACUGGAAUGCAAAAGAAGCAUAAAAUUAGCUAAGGCCUUGUUUAGUAUUGAGUUUUAGAGUUUGAAACUACUUUUCUAAAUAAAA